AAAGGUUUAAAGAAGUCGGCAAGCAAAAAGCCUGAACCCAUCUGGGAAAAGCAAUGGCUACAGUCCCAUGGAUGCUGGAGAAGGGUCAGAGAAUGGCACUACAAACACAAAUAGACAGACAGGUGCCUUAAGUCUUCUGGUAUGUGGUUACUUCUGGACUUGAUGUUUCCUUGGAUCCUACAAGAGUGGCCGAGGAUUACGUGACCAUUUCAGAGUUCAGGGGAUUACAGACUUGCUGACUCACCUGAUUUCCAAUCCAUGCCCCUAGAUCCCUACAUAUCAAAGGACACUUCUGAUUAUUAAACAUAUAGAAGCUUCUAUGUGAAAUAUAAGGUGAAGCUGGUUGGAGAAGGAGGGAGAGAAUUGCCAGGCUGAUGUACAGACCAUGUUUUCUUUCAUGUCGUAGGAAUUAAAAG
rnacentral:lncRNA from 7 species